rnacentral:rRNA from 1 species
GACGAACGCUGGCGGCGUGCUUAACACAUGCAAGUCGAACGGAAAGGCCCUGCUCUUGUGGGGCGCUCGAGUGCCGAACGGGUGAGUAACACGUGAGUAACCUGCCCUUGAAUUUGGGAUAACUCCAGGAAACUCGGGCUAAUACCGGAUAGGAGAUCCUGCUGCAUGGUGGGGGUUGGAAAGAUUCGGCGGUUGGGGAUGGACUCGCGGCUUAUCAGCUUGUUGGUGGGGUAGUGGCUUACCAAGGCUUUGACGGGUAGCCGGCCUGAGAGGGUGACCGGCCACAUUGGGACUGAGAUACGGCCCAGACUCCAACGGGAGGCAGCAGUGGAGAAUAUUGCACAAUGGGCGGAAGGCUGAUGCAACAACGCCGCGUGCGGGAUAACGGCCUUCGGGUUGUAAACCGCUUUCGCCUGUGACGAAGCGUGAGUGACGGUAAUUGGUAAAGAAGCACCGGCUAACUACGUG